rnacentral:rRNA from 1 species
CAGCCGCCGCGGGAACACGGAGGGUGCGAGCGUUAAUCGGAAUUACUGGGCGUAAAGAGUGCGUAGGUGGUUAAUUAAGUUAUCUGUGAAAUUCCUGGGCUUAACCUGGGCAGGUCAGAUAAUACUGGUUAACUCGAGUAUGGGAGAGGGUAGUGGAAUUUCCGGUGUAGCGGUGAAAUGCGUAGAUAUCGGAAGGAACACCUGUGGCGAAAGCGGCUCACUGGACCAUUUCUGACGCUGAUGCACGAAAGCUAGGGGAGCAAACAGGAUUAGAUACCCCAGUAGUCCCUGUCUCUUAUAC